UGAAGAACAUUUUUGAACCAGGUAUGGCUUAUGUUGCUCUCAGCAGGGUGACGUCUCUCAGUGGACUCUAUUUACAGGACUUGGAUGAGAAAAAGAUUUACGCCAAUCCUGAGGUAACUGCAGCGCUCCAAACCAUGAGACAAGCCAGCGUUGAGGAAAUGAUGCCUCUUCUUCAGAGUCUCACCUCCAAGGCUCCUUUGUUGCAGACAGUCUUCAUUUGGACGGCUACACAAUGUUCAAACGCAACAGACAUGUGUCCUACACAAACUUUCCUCACAUGGCCAGCAGAAGUGGUGGUGGAGUUGUUGUGUAUUUGAGGAAUCAUUUUCAGGUUCAGGUAAAACAGUAUCUGCAUAAUGUCACUGAUCUUGAGUUUUUAGUGUUGAAGGUUCAGGCUCCAUUCCCUGCGCUCAUUGCUGUUGUGUACAGACCCCCUGACUACAGUUUGACACCGUUUAUGCAAAACCUGGUAAGUCUUUUAGAUUCACUUGAAAUAAUGGACUGUCACCCAAUAAUUGUG
ensembl:lncRNA